rnacentral:rRNA from 1 species
GUAGGUGGCAAGCGUUGUCCGGAAUUAUUGGGCGUAAAGCGCGCGCAGGCGGUCCUUUAAGUCUGAUGUGAAAGCCCACGGGCUCAACCGUGGAGGGUCAUUGGAAACUGGGGGACUUGAGUACAGAAGAGGAAAGCGGAAUUCCACGUGUAGCGGUGAAAUGCGUAGAGAUGUGGAGGAACACCAGUGGCGAAGGCGGCUUUCUGGCCUGUAACUGACGCUGAGGCGCGAAAGCGUGGGGAGCAAACAGGAUUAGAUACCCUGGUAGUCCACGCCGUAAACGAUGAGUGCUAAGUGUUAGGGGGUUUCCGCCCCUUAGUGCUGCAGCUAACGCAUUAAGCACUCCGCCUGGGGAGUACGGCCGCAAAGGCUG